CUAGUACACGCUAACGGUUGCGUGUAGAAUGAAGGUUGGAUGAUUAGUUGGUGUUCAUAAUAUGUUGAGAGAAUACAGCAGUGGCAAUGCUACUGUGAAGAUUGAUUUUACGGACUUGAGCUGUCCCCAUUCAUGGUACCCAAAAGCUUGGAGGAAGCAUAGCAAGGUUUAUCUGCAUGUGGGACCCACAAAUAGUGGUAAAACUUAUCAAGCCCUAAAGCCGCUGUAGUCAAGCCCUUAUGGUAUAUAUUGUGGUCCUUUGAGGUUGCUGGCAUGGGAGGUGGCAAACAGGCUGAACAAGAUAAACGUUCCUUGUGACCUAAUAAUGGGGCAGGAAAGAGAGGAAGUUGAGGGUGCAAAACACAAGGCCGUGACAGUUGAAAUGGCUGAUGUAAACUCCGAUCAUAGUUGUGCUGUUGUUGACGAAAUUCAGGGACAUUGAUAUGGACUAUAUGAAAGAUUUACUUCAGGGAUAUCUUCCCAAACAAUUGUAAGACUUAUGAUCAGUUGCAAUGUAAAGUUGCAGAAAAUAAAAUGAAAUACACAUUUUUAUUUUGAAAUAAUGCCUGUUAGUCAUGUAAUUUUUAAUUUGAAAUAGUCUCAAUGAUAAGGCAAAAAGUAAACAGAUAUUCA